UACGUAGGGUGCAAGCGUUGUCCGGAAUUAUUGGGCGUAAAGCGCGCGUAGGCGGUUUGAUAAGCCGGGUGUGAAACCUCCAAGCUCAACUUGGAGCGGCCACUCGGAACUGUCAUGACUUGAGUCAGGUAGGGGAACACGGAAUUCCAGGUGUAGCGGUGAAAUGCUUAGAUAUCUGGAGGAACACCAGUGGCGAAGGCGGUGUUCUGGGCCUGUACUGACGCUGAUGCGCGAAAGCGUGGGGAGCGAACAGG
rnacentral:rRNA from 1 species